rnacentral:rRNA from 1 species
CGCAGCUAGUCAUGCAUGUCUAAGUAUAAGCACUUGUACUGUGAAACUGCGAAUGGCUCAUUAAAUCAGUUAUCGUUUAUUUGAUUGUACCUUACUACAUGGAUACCUGUGGUAAUUCUAGAGCUAAUACAUGCGAAAGAUCCCGACUUCACGGAAGGGAUGUAUUUAUUAGACUAAAAACCAAUGCGGGCCUCGGUCCGCUUGCUUGGUGAUUCAUGAUAACUUUUCGAAUCGCAUGGCCUUGCGCCGGCGAUGUUUCAUUCAAAUUUCUGCCCUAUCAACUGUCGAUGGUAAGGUAGUGGCUUACCAUGGUUGCAACGGGUGACGGAGAAUUAGGGUUCGAUUCCGGAGAGGGAGCCUGAGAAACGGCUACCACAUCUAAGGAAGGCAGCAGGCACGAAAAUUACCCAAUCCCGAUUCGGGGAGGUAGUGACAAGAAAUAACGGUACGGGGCCUUUAUAGGUCUCGCAAUCGGAAUGAGAACAAUUUAAAUCCUUUAACGAGGAUCAAUUGGAGGGCAAGUCUGGUGCCAGCAGCCGCGGUAAUUCCAGCUCCAAUAGCGUAUAUUAAAGUUGUUGCAGUUAAAAAGCUCGUAGUUGGAUUUCGGAGCGGGCCCGUCGGUCCACCGCAAGGUGAGCUACUGGCGGGUCUGUUCUUCUUCGCAAAGACUGCAGGUGCACUUCGCUGUGUGCUUGUCGGAUUUGUGACGUUUACUUUGAAAAAAUUAGAGUGUUCAAAGCAGGCUUUCGCUUGAAUACAUGAGCAUGGAAUAAUGGAAUAGGACUUUGGUUCUAUUUUGUUGGUUUCUAGGACCGAAGUAAUGAUUAAGAGGGACAAACGGGGGCAUCUGUAUUUCGUUGUCAGAGGUGAAAUUCUUGGAUUUGCGAAAGACAAACAACUGCGAAAGCACUUGCCAAGAGUGUUUUCAUUAAUCAAGAACGAAAGUUAGAGGAUCGAAGACGAUCAGAUACCGUCCUAGUUCUAACCAUAAACGAUGUCGACUAGGGAUCGGCGGGCGUUAUUUUAUGACCCCGUCGGCACCUUACGGGAAACCAAAGUUUUUGGAUUCCGGGGGUAGUAUGGUUGCAAAGCUGAAACUAAAGGAAUGGUGAAGCAGCUCAGAGUGACGACAUGGG